UCUUCUCCUCUUCAUCCAAGUUGCAUAUGGUGUUUGUGACUCCAUUAGAGGUACUACACUUGUGGUACUUGCUUUCAAGAGCUAAGGAAAUUCAAGGAACUAGUUGUUAUUGCUAUAUAACAACAAAAGGUAUGUAUUCUAGCUUUAUAUAUGAAUUUCGAAAAUUAUAGUAGCAUGCCAGGUUUCUUUUUGUGUUCAUAAAGCUGUAUAACUAAUAGUGAAAACAUAGAUCCAAUACUAGGGUUGCAUGCACACAUAGGAUUGUUUGUAUUAAACCCAUCAGUGGUAUCAGAGCCAUUGGUUUUUGUUUUCAAUUAGCUUUUAUUCAAAUUUAUGAACUUGACAUAUUAGGGUUUAUGGCUAAUGAACCCUAAAGGCUAGGUAUUUUUCGCAAUUAGGGUUGCUAAACCCUAGAUGGCGAUUUUUGCUAGGGUUUCCCAAAUCCUUUCCUUAGCCUCCAAGAUUUUGAAAUCUAGGGUUUUCCAACCCUUGGAUUUCGAAAUUACCUCCUUCCCCAAGGUUAGAUCCUAAAUUUUAGGGAUUUGGAUAAUCCCAUAUCUUGUAAUUAUCUUUUAAUUGUUAAAUAUGGUAAUUAAAGAUCUUGAAUUAUCCCAUCCCUUAUUUUCGAGAUUUAGAGAGGGAUUCAAGGGAUUUGGAUAUCUUAGAUGUAUAAUUGGUAAUUAUCCUCAUGAUCUAGAUAAUCCCUUGUGAUUUAAUAAUUUAAAUUAAUUGUUUAAUUUAUGGUAAUUAUUAAAUCAACAGUUUUAAUAUUUAAAAUUUUAAUUUAAAUGUCUCAAAUUCAAAAUUUUAAGUGAGAUUAAAACCUAAUUGUUUUGAAGAGUUUCAAAACUUGCCCUCAAGUUUUGGAAUUUAAAUUGUUGAUUAAAAGUUAAUUUUGAAAGUCUAAAAUCCAAAACCCUGAUUUUGAAAAGUUCAAAUUAAACCCUUAUGGUUUUAUUAAAUUAAUUAAGUGUAUAAUUAAAAGAGAUUUAAUAAAUCCAUAAUGAUUUUGGUUAAUUAAAAGUAUAAUUUAAACCACCUAGUAUUUUAAAAGUGUAAAAUACACCCUUAUACUAUAUAUAACAUUAAAAGUUUAAUAUUAUAUAUGUAUAACUAAAAAUUCAGUCUUACCGUUAGUAGGCCUCAUUCACGAAGCUAGUCUAUAAGGGGUGUUUAAGGAAAUUGCCUAUAAAAUGGCGAUUGAAUGGGUAUCCACUCUUACCCACCGCACUCUUGACUAGUGGAGGGUCGUUAGCCGAACGGGUAGGAUAGGACAGAAACCUUCCAUUAUAAGUAUAAUGAAGUACAAAGUAACUAAAUGCUUUUUCAAAUUCCCAAAUCAUAGUUACUUUAGGCAAAAUGUGAAAUUGUAUGCUAACCCAUGGAAUUACACUUCGUACCCUUGUCAAACGUUAGUGGAGCGUGUGUGGUUAACCGGCACACUAAUUUGGGGAUGACAUUGGUAGCGAAGGGUGACUCGAUGUUUGUCAUAGAUCAAUGGAGCGUGUGUGGCUAACCGGCACAUUGAUUAGGUGAUAGUAGCAUUGGGUGCACCACGUGAUUCGUAUGGUUAUUCACACCUUGUUUGUGAUCCUCGGCAUCCCAGUCACAAAUAGUAGGGCAUAAUCGAGAUUAAACAUGCCAUUGAAAAGUUCAAUGAAUCUCAAAAGAUCUAGGAGUUUCAAUUCAUUUAAAACUUAAUCUUCCUUUUCGUUUUUCAUGGUGGAAAUUGGUAAAUCGUCAUUUACCUACCUUCAAAUAUUUUGCAACUAGAUUACGGCAUCCCUCUUCUAGGUUGUAGAGUAUUGUGUUGGAUCCUAGCUUGAUGUUUCAUUUGGGUGUUACAUCAAGAAUUCUAAUCAACUUAACUUGAAUUUUCUCCCGUUUUGUAGAUGUCUGAAUCUUACAAUGGUCUUCCCAAAUCCUUUGGAACAAGCUUUCCAAAUGAAGAUGACGUUCCGAGAUACGAUCAAGGAAAUGAGAGUCAUGCUUCACUUCCUCCACCUCCUCCAAUUGUUCUCCCUGACCCACAAGUUCAAAGGCUUGAAAAGUUCAAGCUCACUCAAGCCCUUUUGGCAAGUAAACACGAAGAUGGGAAACCUGUGUGUGCACACGUCUUAGAGAUGAAGUCACACAUUGAUAGGUUAAGCAUGUUGGGUGUCGAGAUUUCAAGCGAGUUGGCUGUUGACUGGGUUCUUCAGUCACUUCCUGAAUCAUAUAGUGAGUUCGUUAGAGAGUACUAUAUGAUGGACCACGACGUGACCCUAAUUGAUCUCACCUAUUUGCUUAUAGCUGCUGAAUCAGCAAUGAUUUGGCGUGCUGGUCAAGCAAAUUUGUCUAGUGAAUCAAACUCCCAAACUUCAAUGGACACUGGCAACAUUGGAAGUCCAGAAAGAACUAAGUCUGUGAUUGUCCGAUGUGCUGUGCCAAAGGAGUCCAUUUGCUUUUAUUGCCAAGAGAAGGGGCAUUGGAGACGAAGUUGCCCUAACUACCUGAGAGAUCUAAGAGAUGGGAGAGUCAAGACGUAUGGCUCUGCUUCAGGUAAAAUCCAUUAUCUAACUCUUUUGAGUUCCUAUUCUAGAUUCUUAAUACAUGAUGUGAUAAGAUUACAUUUUGAUGUUUUGUAGGAUCGAAGAAAAGAGAGGAAGCUUGAGGGAAGAAGUGAGCUGAAUCUAAUCAUGAAGAAAUGGAUUUCGAUCGCAUUACUUGAAGAAUGGAUUCUUGAGCUACUACUUGGAGUUAGAAUAGAUUGUUAAGAAAUAUGUAAUAACAUAGUUUUUCAAUUGAAUUGCAUUGUAAGGACAAAUUUUUUCCGCAAUAAAAUGAAUUUUGAUUUUAUCUUAUUUAUUUAUCCUUGCAAUGGCAUGUAUGAAAAAUUGAUGUUUGAAUGUUUCUAUUAUUAGCAAUAAUGGAUUUGAUUCUUAAUUAUGUUAUUUGUGGAAAUGUCAAAAGUUUACCAAAUAGGGAGAGUUUCUCAUCGCCCAAGUUUCAAUUGGACAGAAACUUGGAAUCAUGCAAUGUGUAUUGUAUGAUGAAUGAAAAACUUUCACAUUUGGGAAACUUAGACUAAUUCUUUGACAAAGUGUCAAUUGAAGGACUAGGAGAUCAAGUACACUAGGUUGUACGUUGAUCAAGUCCACCACAAGAGUGACAAAGAUAUUCGUCAUGAUUUACUAAAGUUUAGUAAAUAUGGUUAUACUUAUAAGAUUGAGUAUAAUUCUGAGUUAACUGAAAUAGUUUCAAUCAAUAGCAGAACGAAUAAGAAGAAUCAAGAAGGCAGAAAGAUAAAAGUUUCUCCAUUCUAAGAAGAAGGGAGAGUACCUUUUAUUGUGUUUUAUGAUGAAGUCUUAAUGAUUAAGAACCAUAUCUCAAUUGAUCCUCUAAGUGAGUCUUAGUGCAUUUGCAUGUCUAAGAAGAGGAAUCGAGAAUUGUAGAAAUGGUUAAAUCAAAGAGUCAAUCAUACUUCGUUCCAAUAUCAAGUCUUAGAGUCAUACUCCAAGAUUGUGACAUUGAGUGACAAGUCUUAAGUAGGUUUAUAACACUCAUCAAAUGUGGAAUUUGGAAAAGUUUUCUUAUUCUUGCACAUUAGAAAUUGGUAAGUUGUGAUGUCUUGGAUAAGACAAAGACCAACUAGGACCAAUUUGUGAAGUGUUUUGUCUUGAUAAGAACUACACUAACUCUUGAAUAUUUGCUUUGUCAAGAAAUGUUUCUUGACAAGAGAAUCUUAUAUGUCAAGGAGUCAGUGGGAGUCUUAAUGGUCUUGAAAGGUUUCAAGAACAAAUCAAGAAUAUACCUUAUCGAUCAUCACUAGCACACGACUUGAGGUUUACAACCUAUCGUGCUGACAUUAUUUUGUUUUUGUGCCAUUCCAAUUGAGUUAAUUGCGUAUGUGAGUUCUAUGAGUUCUCAUUUGAAUGCAUACUAGAGCCUUAGUCGAUGGAAAGUACAUUGAUAUGUAAGGACAAGUUACUAAACUACUUGGAAGACAUGGUGGGCACUCGUGUUACCAUAAGGCAAGAAAUCAAGAUUAAGAAAGUUCAGUCCAUAUGAGUUUGGAUUUGUCGCAAACCUUGGUUUUGGCAAAUUCACAUGGAUAGGAACUCAUACACCAUAAAAUCUAAGUGUCAUAAGAUUCCCUCCUUCAUGAAAAUGACUGUGAGGAAAUGCUUUCACUAAGAGAGAUUUUAAGAAGAUAGCGAUUGUGAAAAUUGUAUUCUCAAAAUUCGAUUAUGGUUACGGCAUCCCUUUCCAUAGUUCGAAUUAUGAGAUUUGGCAAUUAGUUUCAACAUUUGGAACUUAGUAACAUAAGUUCUGAAUUGUUUAAACACACAUAUGAGCUAUCUAAGACAAAGGUGUAUAAGGUUAAGAAGCCUAGAUAAAGGCUUAUCGAAGCAUCUGGUAUUAGAAAUAUGAAUUUCAGAAAUUCAAUAGGCAUUGUUUUCUGAAAGUUCAUUUGUUUUCUGAAUACAUGUCAAAGCUAGUGGGAGCAUAAGUGUUAUGCUUAUAUGAUAAUAAUCAUCAUGAUAGUGGGAGCAUAAGUGUUAUGCUUGUAUGAUUAUUAUGGCGAGUAUUGCAAGUUAGCAAUAUUAAUUAUAGAAAAACAAAGAUUCAAUUUGCAAAGUUGCAUGGGUUGAAAAGUUGUUUUAAUAUAAUUAAGGGAGAGAAUAUUAUACUUCGUUUCAAAAUCUAAAGCUUAGAUUGAGAAAUUUUAAUAUUUUCAGUCAAAGGAUACAUUGUGUGUUCUUAAAAUUCGAUUAUGAUUACGGCAUCCCUCUUCAUAGUUCGAAUUGUGAGAACAUGACACAUAAAAUAUUAUGGCAAAAGAUUGGUAAAGUAUCAUAUCUUUAUGUAAGACAUUAUGCAUCGUGUCCCAUACGCUUCGGGUAUAGGAUCGAUUGCAAAUGCUAUAAUAUUUUACCAUUCUAAAAUUUUCCAAAUGUCUAGCGCAUUAAGAGGGAAAAAGGACUAGAAUUGGUUUUGACUAAAAUAAUUAAACAACUAUCAAAGGACGAUCCAAAGUUCGCUGAGGAUUGGUCGCUUGUGAGUAGUUGGAAGUAUGGUAUUGGAUGGACCAUAUCGACAUUAUUAUGAAUAGAUAAGAUUCUAUUAAGAAUGAGUUGUCAUAUGGCAAAUAUGGAAAUGUUUCCAUAUUGGGAGUUGGAUAUUGAGAGUCUAUGCCUAGAUUAGAAACUUUUAUGCAAGAAGGAUGUUCAAAGGAAUGUACUUUGAAUGUGAGACUUCACAUCUAUGGAAUUGUCUUGUAACAAUUUCUAAGAAAGUACUUUGUAAUUUCAUUAGCCAAGUCUUGGUGACUUUUGUGCUAUGACUUUACGAAAGGAUCGUUGCGUAAAAUGUUAGAAUCUAGCAUAUUCUAGUAGUGGCAAGAACCUUGUGUUCUUACACUAACAAUGGGGAUUGAGGAAUUGUGAAAUGAGAAUCAUUGGAAAAGUUUUCAAUUGUUCUAUUUCACAAAGCAUGGACCAUAGGAAACAAAGUGUGCAUGCUUAGAGCAUGGGACAAUUGUUGUUGUAAUUCAAGUAAUGAGUUGAUUAUCCGAAACAUUAAAUGAUAAAUAAUGAGUAAUCAAUAUGGUGGAUAAAUAGAAGUGUUUUAUUUACUCUCACAAGUUUGGGGCCAUAUAGGAUUAAGUAUUAUUGUUAUGUUUCAGUUUGCAUGUUUUGACUUCCAGAAUAACUAGGUUAUUCAAACAUCCACAGUCGGUCAUACGUUGGGAGUAGGUAUGAAUAAAGACUGUCAUGAAUCUGUCUGUAGAUUGUCUGAAGUGUUUAGACAUGGCACAAGUUUGCUGCAGAGUUCAUGAGUGCUUUGAUAAGAUUAGAGUAUUGGAUUAAACCCACGCUCACUUGGAUCACUUCAUGGUUUUAUCACGAGUGAUUAGUGAGACGAUAAUAUUGUAUAUUCUUGAAACCGAGACGUGUGAGUUGUUAUUUGUUGGUCGGUUACACAUUGAUAAUAAGUAAACGCACCAGUAACUUGGUGUUAUAAAACUUAUUGUUGUGUGUGAUUCGAUCAGUAAAUGCAAGCGAGCAUUUGAGUCGAAGUUUAUCCAUUCCUUUUACCCAAAGUGGGAUAAAAGCGAUAUAUGUGGGCCUCUCGAUGAUUUAGUGAUGACACCUAAGCGCUUGGCCAAGCCGGGACUAAGUUGAUGUGUUCAAUUGUAGUCUGUUAUCAGUCGUCAUAAAUCGGAAGUCGGGAAACAGUAUAGAGAGAAUGAUUGAAAUUCAUGUCUUUUGUCUAUACGAUAUCUUGAGAAUGGAGGAAUAUAUAAUCCCUUAUCUAGAGGACACGCUAUCUGAUAAGAUCAGAGUUGACAGCGGCUUUUGAAAGCUACGAUUGCUGAUCAGGUUCUGAAGUCAUACGGAAAAUAGUUAUUAGACUUAUCCAAGUGGGAGACUGUUGGAUUAGUGUCUAAGUCCAUAACUAUUUUGGUAUGUACUUGACCCGAUUAUGAGCAUGGUCCUUUUGGGUUGCCUUCACCAUAGCAAUAUGUAGGAUGAUUUAAGGAGAGAAAGGUUUAAAUAUGAUUUAUUAAUAUAUUAUGAGAAUAAUAUAUUAAAGGAGAAAUCAUAUUGUUUAAUUAAUAUUAGUCAAGAAUUAAUUGUUAAUUAAUUUUGUGGCUAAAAGAGAUUAAUUAAACUUAGGGGACUGAAGUUGUAAUUAUAAGAUAAUUAUAAUUGGGCUAUGGAUCACCAAAUAAUAUAUAGGUUGGACGAAUUCUAUGGGUAGCCCAUUAGAAAUCGUCCAAGGGAUAUGUUUAAGGAGUCCAUGGGCUGCUUAGGGCCUAAGCAGUCAAAUUAGGGUUUCCUAGUUGUAAACCCUAAUAGCCUACAUGUAUAUAAAGGGCCCCUAUGCCCCAAAAACGAGAAUAUAAGUCUUUCGUUAGGGUUUCCAGCCGUUUUUGGUGCCUCCUUUUCUUCUCCUCUUCAUCCAAGUUGCAUAUGGUGUUUGUGACUCCAUUAGAGGUACUACACUUGUGGUACUUGCUUUCAAGAGCUAAGGAAAUUCAAGGAACUAGUUGUUAUUGCUAUAUAACAACAAAAGGUAUGUAUUCUAGUUUUAUAUAUGAAUUUCGAAAAUUAUAGUAGCAUGCCAGGUUUCUUUUUGUGUUCAUAAAGUUGUAUAACUAAUAGUGAAAACAUAGAUCCAAUACUAGGGUUGCAUGCACACAUAGGAUUGUU
rnacentral:lncRNA from 1 species